GCUCAACAUCGCUCAUUAUUAGAGAAAUGCAAAUCAAAACUGCAGUGAGAUAUCACAUCAGUCAGAAUGGCCAUCAUCAAAAAGUCUACAAACAAGUAAACUCAAGUUGAAAUAAGAUAAUACUUUAUAAAACUAUUUGUGGUAUUCAGUUUUCUCUUUAAUAAUCAUGUGUGCCUGGUAUAAUCCAGGAGGUUAAGAAACCCUAAAAAGAGAAUACAAUUAGGAGUUUGCUAUUUUAGCUCUCUCAGGUCCAGAAAAGUUAAGCACCAGGUUUGGUUCUGUUUUGCAUUAAACAUGUAAUAUUGAUCAAGUCACUUAGCCUCCAUAAAUCAGACUUAAGAUAAAUAAAUAAUGACAUAUUUAUUUAUCUAUUUAUAUAUUUGCCAUAUUUACCUAUCGAUAUAUCCAUGAACUGUUUACCUAAAUAUCUGCCUCACAGAAUUAGGACACCUUAUAAGAAUAUAUAUGCUGAACCAAAACAAAUUGGAUAAACUGAAUAAACAAGUACAUAAAUACAUGUAAGUUUCAAAUAAAAUAUAGGCUAAAGGAGAAGAUAUGACAAAGAAACAAGCUUUGUUUUCUUUUCAGUUUUAAGUUAAGAAAUGGCGCCAACAUUGCAGGCUGAUGUAUCGAAUGAUUUUAUGUGAUAACUUGUAACUUGGCAGAUUUCCCUGGUGGCUCAGACUAUAAAGAAUCUGCCUGCAUGCAGGAGACCUGGGUUUGAUCCCUGGGUCAGGAAGAUCCCUGGAGAAGGGAAUGGCAACCCACUCCAGUAUUCUUGCCUGAAGAAUCCCAUGGACAGAGGAGCCUGGUGGGCUACAAGGGGUCCAUGGGGUUGCAGAGUUGGACACAACUGAGCAACUUACUGCUAACACAAUUUGUUAAGAUUAACACAUAUUACACCUUUUAUUUGUAGUAGUUGUAAUCUUAAAGAUGAGUAGGAUAACUUCAUGUUUAUUUGCCUUCACACCAUUUUGGCAUUCAUCUCCCCUCUGCACUGUAAUCUUUGUGAUUGUUGUGGAUGUUUAGUGGGUAUUACUGAGGGUGACACAGACUGGGUGAUAGAUUAUAUGCUAAGAUGGUCACCAGCAACCUCUCCUAUUCCUACAUGAGUGCUGGCCUCUCCUCUAGAAGUGUAGUUUAUUUUCCUUUCUCUUAAAUCUGGGAUGACCUUGCUUUGUCCAAAAGAAUGGAACAGAAGUAAUAUUGCACCAAGCUUUGUGAAGCGUUGCAACUUGUACUUUCAUUCUUUUUGGAGCCCUCUGAGACACAGUAUAAAAGAGUCCAUCUAUUCUGCUCAACAGAGAGGCGGUAAGAAGAGAAACAGGCCCCAGACAUCCUGGGCCAUUUCAGCCACACUAGCUGGAGCUCCAGACAGUUACCACUCCACUAUCUGAUCUAUCCACUCUCCAUGGAUUUUCAAGGAAGAUCAGUGAUGUUGUAAAAAAGGUCUUGACCUUUGAUUGGUACCCUCAGAAAAGACUAUCAGGCAUAAAGACCAAUAGGAACCCAAAGCAGUGAGAGAAGCUGAAAAUAAGGGAACUGUGCCUCUUAUCUCCAUGGAGGCUUUGGAGAGAAGGUGUUAAUGGUUAAUUUAUUUCUUCAUUUAUUCAGUCAAUGAACAUUAUUGCAGAAUCUUCAGUUGCAUAAUAAAUUUGAGAUGCUUCCAGUCAAGAAAAUUGCAUCACCUUUUCUGAUAUUCCUACCUCAUUUCAACAUCUAGUUAUCCUCUGUCUCAGAUAAGAUGCCUUUUGGAUCUAAUAUAGUUAGAGUAACCAUACUGGAACACUUCUGAAAUUGAAAUGGGCAUUGUUAACAAUUAUGCCAGAUAGUAUACACCAGGACUAUCUUAGGUAACCCAAGUGAUAUAUAACUUAAUCUAGGUAGUACCUAUCAUAUCUUCUUUCUUUACAUAUGUAACUAUAUAAUAUAUGUAUAUGUGUGUAUAUACAUGUAUGUAUGUGUAUAUAUAUGUAUGUAUGUAUGUAUAUGAACUAUAUAGAGCUUCCCUCGUAGCUCAGUUGGUAAAGAAUCUUCCUGAAAUGCUGGAGACCCAGGUUCAAUUCCUGGGUUGGGAAGAUCUGCUGGCAAAGGAAAUGGCAGCUCACUCCAGUAUUCUUGCCUGAAGAAUUCACAGGAGGCACCUGGCAGGCUACAGUCCAUGGGGUCGCAAAAGUUGGACAUGACUUAGCUUCUAAACCACCAUAAACUAUUUAAUAUAUACAUAUAUAUUAUAUAAUUUAUUUGGCAGAAGUAGGGAACUUUAACUGUAUUAGUAAGGUUCAUUAAGAUUGUAAUGAAUAAUUAAUUGUAGAUUAUCUUUGGUAGUAAGAGUUUGUUCCAAUAAAAAUAACAUGAAGGUGUGACUGGGAAGGUGUGCAGUCACUGUUGACUCUAGUCCUGUUCUUUCAAGAAUGGGUUGUUCAACAUCAUUCAGGAUAUAGACUGAGUUCCACUGUCUCGUCUUCUCUGGAGACGUGCCGUUGCUGGGCAGAGAUAUUGCCAAGUCCUCUCAAAGCGCUUGGCUUCCUUCACAUCGAGCACACUCACGUUUGCCUUGUUCAGUCAACAGUACCCAGGGAACAAAGAUGGUUUACCUCAAUAAAAAUGUUGUGAACUUUAUGUGGUCUUUUUGUAGGAAAAAGAAAAACUGAUUGAGGAUCAUUUACUCUGAAGUCAUAGCAUGCACGUAGAACAUUGUGAACAUUUCUCCAAUGAAACAAAUCUGCUAUAUUGUAUAUUUCCACUUAAACGUGUUUUGCUUUCAAUGAAGGAAGCAUAUAACUUCUUUGAUUGGGAUACCCAGAAAGGAAAUAACAUGGUUUCUAUCUCUUUUUCUCUGAGGCUUCACAGAGGUAAAGUAAGUAAAUUGUGGGAUGUGGUCCAUUAUGACCAUAAAGCUUAUUUGUUCAUUCGAUUACUCCUAUGUAGGAUUCUGUUACCAGAAGAAGUGGGGAGAGUGAAUGUGACAGGCAGACAAAAAUACAAAUACCAUCAUGCUGGACAAGUGAUAAAAGCUGAUAGAGUGAAGUAGAAAAUGUGUAGAACUUAACCCAAUGAUACUGCAAUGGGAGCAGCAGCUGCCCUCUAAGAUGAGAGUUUAGUUUGUCUGGAGAAGAAUGAUGUGUAGACAGUAUGAACUCAGAAUCACAUUGCCUAGAGAGGGUUUCAUAUUGAAAGAAAGCAUUAUGCAGGAAAGGGAGCUAAGGUUAUAACCUGGAAAAAAUCAAAUGCUGCCUUAAGCCACAGAGACUCAAAUAGAAGUAUAAAUAUGAUAAUGCAUACGAUAGAGACAGAAAAGUGAGGAAUGAAGGGAUGAGGGGUCAAGGUCAGAGACUUUUGUACAUGACUUCUUAAAUUUUACACAUCUGGUAGAGAAUUUUUCUUUUAAAUGUGGGUCCUAGCUUGUUUCACCAUAGUGAAAGAUAAUUCUUAAACAAGUUGAAAGGAACCAAAUUAGACAAAUUUCUAAUUUUUAAGGAAGUACACAGUAUUGAGACAGAAAGUCCCUUCCAUAGACACCCCACAGCCUGGAUUAAAAGCAUGAAGCCAGCAAGGGAGGCGACACAUGAGCAAGUGUUAUGGUUUUGAAGACAAGAGACCCUUGAGCAUUCACUCCUUCCAUGUUGUACUAAAUGCAAACACUAUUCAUAGUUUUUAUUUUCUAUUUAUUUAUUUUUUAAAAGCAAUUUAUUUGACUGCUCUAGCACACAGCAUCUUCAAUCUUCAUUGCAGCAUGUGGAGUCUAGUUCCCUGACCAGGGAUCAAACCUGGGCCCCUGCAUUAGGAGUGCAGAGUCUUAGCCAGUGGACCACCGCAAAAGUCCCUAUCCAUAGUCUUUCUAUGUGCUGCUGCCUGGCAGAGUGGAGACAUGAAGUAAAGUUUUAUUGGAUGAAUGUAUGAUUGGUACUAUUAUUUCCCUUCUCCCCCUUCAAAUGCAAACAAAGCCUGAAAGUCCAGCUUCCUUCUCUCUAACCACUGUGCAGGAACCAAGUCUAGAAGUGGAAUCAAACCUAAAGUGCUCCUUUUAGCAUUUUCCACAAGCUACAUACACUUUAACCUAUUCAACUUACUCAUGUCUAGACCCAGUGAAUUCUGUUAAUGAUACUUCUUUCCAAGGCCAACAGAACUAGUUACUAGGAUCUAAGAAGGAGCGUGUAUAGUUAACCAACCUGAGAGACAAGGAUACAGAACCCAGGUACUAAGUUAAGCAUGGAUCAAGGGCUUUUUGUGGCAGACACUGAGUUGAUAUUUAUCAAAUCCAUUUUUUCUUCUCCCUGAAACAUUUUUCUUUCUUGUUUGCAAUUAAAUGUGAUCAUGUUUUAGCUAAUUGAAUGUGAACAGCAGUGAUAUGUGCUAAUUUUAGACCGACUAAAUAACUUUCCAUCCCUCCAUGGCAUACAAUCUUUGUUCUCUUCUCUGUUCCCCUGGCUUAGUGAUAAUAAGAAUUUUGACCUGGGAUGCCAUAGUUUGAAGAUAGCAGAAUCACAAGAUAAAGAAGUCCCAAAUCUUCCCUUGAAGGAGAGCCACCUGCCACUCAGAUAUCUGUUUUGGAUUUUAUAUGAUAGAACCCAAAGGAAAAGAAAGAUAAGUAAAUCAGCAGAACCAUUGCCUUUGGAGGGACUUGGGGUCAGGCUGCAGAGAAUUAAAGGGCCAG